GACGAACGCUGGCGGCGUGCUUAACACAUGCAAGUCGAACGGAAAGGCCUGCUUUCCCUUGUGGACUGCGGGUACUCGAGUGGCGAACGGGUGAGUAACACGUGAGUGAUCUGCCCCCAACUUGGGUAUAAGCCUGGGAAACUGGGUCUAAUUCCCGAUAGGACUGCAGGGUGGUGCCUGUGGUGGAAAACGAUUUUCUAGUGGUUGGGGAUGAGCUCGCGGCCUAUCAGCUUGUUGGUGGGGUAAUGGCCUACCAAGGCGGCGACGGGUAGCCGGCCUGGGAGGGUGGACGGCCACAUUGGGACUGAGAUACGGCCCAGACUCCUACGGGAGGCAGCAGUGGGGAAUAUUGCACAAUGGGCGGAAGCCUGAUGCAGCGACGCCGCGUGGGGGAUGACGGCCUUCGGGUUGUAAACUCCUUUCGACCGCGAGGAAGCCACCUGGUUGGAAGGGUGGUGACGGUAGUGGUAGAAGAAGCACCGGCUAACUACGUG
rnacentral:rRNA from 1 species